rnacentral:rRNA from 1 species
AUAGGAGGUCCCGCCUGCCCUGUGACCAAAAGUUUAACGGCCGCGGUAUCAUAACCGUGCAAAGGUAGCGCAAUCAAUUGUCUUUUAAAUGGGGACCUGUAUGAAUGGCAUAACGAGGGUCUAGCUGUCUCUUUUUUCUGGUCAAUGAAACUGAUCUGCCCGUGCAGAAGCGGGCAUGCUAACACAAGACGAGAAGACCCUAUGGAGCUUUAGACGCCCACCAACCGCGAGCAGCGCUCCCCUUAACGGGGGCCCAAACAACGCGGCCCUGGUAUAAACGUCUUAGGUUGGGGCGACCGCAGGGGAGAACAAAGCCCCUGAGAGGGUUGGGAACGGCCCUAAAACUGAGAGCUACAGCUCCAAGUCGCAAAACGUUUGACCGAUAAUGAUCCGGCUUACUGCCGAUCAACGGACCAAGUUACCCUAGGGAUAACAGCGCAAUCCUCUCCCAGAGCCCAUAUCGACGAGGGGGUUUACGACCUCGAUGUUGGAUCAGGACAUCCUAAUGGUGCAGCCGCUAUUAAGGGUUCGUUUGUUCAACGAUUAAAGUCCUACGUGAUCUGAGUUCAGACCGGAGUAAUCCAGGUCAGUUUCUAUCUGUGA